UGUAGAUGAAUCUUUUACUCUUUCUUUGACAGGGGAAAAAGAUUAAGAUAAACAAAUGCAAUUUCCUGAAAUGUAUGGAUACACGUAUUGCCUCACGUGCCAAUUACUGUUGCGAAAAGGGUUUAAAGCUUCAUGCAUGCUAUCAAGAGGCUUUUGAUGCGUUCUCAGAAUUUCUUUUCCUUUCCGUUAUUCUUAUCCAUUUUACGGCCAGCGCAAGAAUUGAAGGAUCGGUCGACCCUGAUAUUCUAUACUUAUAUAAAACUAGUAAUAUUAUUCGAUUAUUGAAUCAACGGCCUUGCUGCUUCAGGCUCUGAUACCUGAAAACGAUAGUAACAUCAGGGAAUGAGUAUGAUAUCGGAGAGCAGGCACUGCCUUGUUGAAGUAGAGGUGGACUCGGGGACAAGUGACGGUAAAUUAAAGCAGAAUCUGAAUAAAGCAAAUCACAUCUCUUGUUACCAAGUGUCAUUGUGUUCAAAGGAACAAGCCAUCUAGAAUCGAUCAAAAGUUGGGAAUAAAAAAUUUAGAUAAUAGAAUUGUUGAUUUGAUAUGAAGUGCACGAAUGCUAUCUUUAA